rnacentral:lncRNA from 10 species
CUUGGAUUCACCACACCCGAGUUAAACUUUGGACAUCCCCUGUGGGACCAUUAGCUCGGGAGUCCCAAGAUCAGCCAGAUCAGCCAGACCAGCCUCGAUACACCUGUGAACUGUUGGAGGACUUGUAUCUCCUAUUUUGAAAGGAAACAUCCCAGACUAAAAAGGCUCCUACCACUGAUCCUGAGGAAAAGCCCCAUUCCUCCUUAAAAAAGGAUGGAGGCCAUCAAGCUACAGAAGGUCUUACAAAUGGAACCCCGUUUGUAAGUUGUUAGUUGAGCUCAACUAACAACUUCUACCAAGGACCCCUGGAUCGACCCACUGGCCCUUUGGCUGGCCUAAAGAAUUCCCCUCUGGAGGAAACUACAACUGCAGGGCCCCUUCUUUGCCCCUAUCCAGCAGGAAGUAGCUAGAGUGGUCAUCGCCCAAUUCCCAACAGCAUUUGGGAUGUACUAUUUAGAGGGUGGAUUGAGAGGUGAAGCCAGCUGGACUUCCUGGGUCCAGUGGGGACUUGGAAAACUUUUCUGUCUAGCUAGAAGAUUGUAAAUGCACCAGUCAGUCCCCUGUGUCUAGCUAAAGAAUUGUAAAUGCACCAAUCAGCACUCUGUAAAAAUGCACCAAUCAGCACUCUGUGUCUAGCUACAGGAUUGUAAUUAAACCAAUC